rnacentral:rRNA from 1 species
GAUGAACGCUGGCGGCGUGCCUAAUACAUGCAAGUCGAACGAAGGUCUAGCUUGCUAGACCUUAGUGGCGAACGGGUGAGUAAUACAUAAAUAAUCUGCCCAUAUGACUGGGAUAACUAUUGGAAACGAUAGCUAAUACCGGAUAGGUUAAUUGGAGGCAUCUCUGAUUAAUUAAAGUAGGAUUUCUACACAAAUGGAUGAGUUUAUGGCGCAUUAGUUAGUUGGUGGGGUAACGGCCUACCAAGACGAUGAUGCGUAGCCGACCUGAGAGGGUGACCGGCCACACUGGGACUGAGACAAGGCCCAGACUCCUACGGGAGGCAGCAGUAGGGAAUUUUCGGCAAUGGGCGCAAGCCUGACCGAGCAACGCCGCGUGAGUGAUUAAGGCCUUCGGGUUGUAAAGCUCUGUUGUAAGGGAAGAACAUUCAGGAUAGGAAAUGAUCUUGAACUGACGGUACCUUACCAGAAAGCCACGGCUAACUACGUGCCAGCAGCCGCCGUAAAAC